rnacentral:rRNA from 1 species
UACGUAGGGUGCAAGCGUUUAAUCGGAAUUACUGGGCGUAAAGCGCGCGUAGGCGGAUCGCUAAGUCAGGGGUGAAAUCCCAGGGCUCAACCCUGGAACUGCCUUUGAUACUGACGAUCUGGAGAUCGGGAGAGGUUGGUGGAAUUCCGAGUGUAGAGGUGAAAUUCGUAGAUAUUCGGAGGAACACCAGAAGCGAAGGCGGCCAACUGGCCCGAUACUGACGCUGAGGAGCGAAAGCGUGGGGAGCGAACAGG